UCCACAGCACGCUGUAGCUGGCGCCUGCUCUGCCCUAGCCCUGGGCUGGGCCCUGGGGACAUGAGUCAGGCCUGCUUUCUGAACCCCCUGCCGGGAGGCCACCCUGACUGCUCCCUCUGCCUGUCCCAGCGUUGCGGGCUAGUCUUCAAGGAGCUCAGUCUGGGGCCUGCAGGCUGUGGUUGCUGCUAAACAAGGCUGUGGCCUGGACACACAUCCAAGACCUUAAGUCCUCUGCCUAGGCCUCUGUGGCCCAGACAGGCUGUCCUAUGGACGUCCACAUCCUGCACUAGCUUCAAACCUUGCAGUGGCUCCCAUGGCUAUGGGAGUGAUGGCCAGGCCACUUGCCUGCUGCUCUGGGCUCUCUGAGGCCAGACCUCGCCCACUCCUCACAACAGGCCCUCCUCACUCCACCUUGAGCCCCCAGCCAUGGCUCCAUCAGCAGUCACCCAUUCCAUCAGGGAUGCCCCUGUUUCCUGCAAACUCCCAAGCUUGCUAUUUCUGCUCCUCCAGUGCCCCAGCCCCUGUGCCCUGUCACCUGACCACUACAUGCAUCUUCCUAUCCUCCUGCAGAGGCUGGGGGAGGGGCUCUCCCCAGAAAGGGCAGCAUGGCCCACACAGAUGACCAGUGGACAGAGAUGUUUGUUGAAUGUUUAGCCAAAACACAUCAUGACAACCCAAAGGCUAGUGUGAGUCAGAGGCUCAAGGUUUGUUUGCCCUCUCAAUCGGCACAAAAUGCCUGCCAUCCAAGAAACUUCUCAGGGAAGUGGCAGGAAUCUCUAACCACUCUCCAGAGCGAGGACCCUGGGAGAUGACCUCACUAAGCAGAGGGGUGGCAGGGCAGGAGGCGAGAAGAUGAGGACAUGGAGGCAGAGAGAGACAAAGAACUUAGCUGGGUCCCACGGCAUGUAAGGAGCGCUGGAAUCCAAGCUCGCUAGCAGCAGGAAGUCCCAGCAGCGGGGCUGGUUCCUGGAAUGCUCCCUGGGCACCACUGAGAAUGCAGUGAUGACGGUGAUCACUUCCAAACAGCUGCCCUGGCGGGGUUUAGGGCUAAACGCUGGUCACUGCUGCAUCCUUGUGGGAGCUAAGUGACCAUGGUGGGAGAGGAGGAGCCAGGUGCCAGACCCUGGCCGAGUGUCUGCAAUCAACAAGAAUGACUGGACAUCUGCCCACCGAGGCUGAGCUUGGCCAGGACAUCUGAAGAUCAUUAGCUGGCUGCUCCCUAGGGGCUGACCCUGCUUGGCAAGAAUCACCCCAGACAGAGGGCAGAGGACAGAGCGAACAAAGACCAGUUCCCUCAGGUGUGCAUCGCUGGAGAAGGACCCCUGACCUUCUGGGGUCCAAGUCCCACCUUGAAUUCCUGGCCUCUGAGCAGCCGUUCCCAGAGGAAUGAGCCUUGACAGCAGAUCCUGGAAAGACAGCCUUAGGCCGGAUUCUGGAAAAGCCUGGUGUCUCUUCCAGAGCAGCAGAGCUUCCCCUCAAAUGGAACUGGGGUAUAGCAGGAAGUGCUCCCUGCCAGGAAUCCAGAGACUGUACCCAGCCCUGCCUGAUCUGCCAAUCAGCUGUGUGACCUUGGACCAGUCCCCUGCCCCUCUCUGAGCCUUGGUUUUCUUAACUGUAUAAUGAAGACUUGGACUUGACCAAGCAGUUUAGCCUCAGACCAUCAGCUUCUUUUGGGCAACAGCCUUGUCUUCUCUUUGAAAGUAGACCAUAGACUUCAGAAUCAGAGGACUGGUCAAGCCCAAGGCUGUCACUCCCUAGCUGUGUGAGUAGCCUUGGACAGGGCACUGCACCGCCCUGAGCCUCUGACCCUGGAAAGCCACAGAUCAGAGUGCUCACUCUGCGACCUUCAGGUCUGCUAUAGACCCCAUGCGGGUGGACACUGAGGCCACUGGACAACAGAGCGAGGUGCUCUUCUAGCCCCUUCACACAUAUGCCCCUCCUGCUAGGGCCUGGCUUCAGACUGGCUCAGGGUACCUGGGCCCAGCCCUGUCAAAGGAGCCACUGCCUGCCUGCCGUGCUCGCAUGGCUCUGAAAUAGCACCGUUGGCCCCUGGGCCCAGCUCCCAUAGGAGGUGUCAGUAAUGCUGCCCAGAGGGACCAGGGCCUGUGACAUCAUGAUAGCAGUUUCCAUGCCAGAGCUCCCAGGGCUAAGAUCAUUGGGAACAUAGUACUGCUUCUUUUUCUUUCUUGUUCUAGUUUGGCUAAGGAACGUGGAAGCUGCUAAGUGAUUCCAGAAAAAGAGUAAAGGCUGGUUCAGAAAUAGACUCUGGAUUCUGGGGUCCUGAAAACAGUGGCAAGCCCUGGAAAUCUGCCCCCUGCCUCUUCUGUGCCCACCUUAACCUCACUUCAGGCUCCCCAGAUAGGACCAAGGUCAGGGAGCCAAUGGUCUGCCCUGAAUUCCCAGAAGACCCCCCUUGGACCUCUGCCUGCCCUCCAGAGAGCAGGUGUACUAGCCCUCCUUUGAUCAAAUGCAGUCAUAGCCAAUCCUCCUUUCAUCCACCCACCCACUCACCCAUAUAUACAAACAUUCAUUUAGACAUUCAUCCAUUCAUCCCUCCAUCUCUCCAUCCAUCCAUCCAUCCAUUCACUCAUUCAUUUGUUCACCUAGCACUGUUUAUUAAGCCUGUCUAUGUGGCGGGCACCAUUCUAGGCUCUGAGUUAGAGUGGUGACAAAGCACACAAACCUCUGCCCUCAUGUAGCCUAUUUUGUCGUGGGAGAAGAUGGGUGAUAACCAGACCAGAUGUGGGAGGGAGGGUGUAGUGGGGCAGGUGGAUGCUGCUUGUGCUGUGCAGGAGACCUCAGCUGGAGAGGUAUGGGGCCCAGAGGGGAGGGACAAGGCCUGGCCACAAUUCUUAAUAGGGUGGGCAGGGCAGGCCCUGCUGAGAAAGGCUGUGGGAGCAAGGAAGGAUGCAAGGAGGAGCCUGUAUGCUCAUCUGGGGGAAGAGCAUCCAGGUGGGAAGGACAUUGGCUACUGUGGAAACAGGUAUGAGUUAGAAAUGACUCCACCUUUCCCUCCAACACCUGGAAGGCCACACCUCCAUUCUGGGCAAGGUCGGGCUCUAGGUGAGUAAGAACAAGUCACAGAUGGCAUGGUCACCCCCUACUGGGUAGGCUCCAUUCUGCAGGCCUUUGCUAACCUCAUAUUUUGUGUCAAGCCCCAGAGCACACCCAGGGGUUCCAGGGAGCUUGGACCUGCUCCCUGACAGUAGCAGGCUGAGUGUCAGGAGGCCUGGGUUCCUGUGGUGGCCUUACCUCUGCUUGGCAAUGUGAUGUUAGAUAAGGCACCACCCUCAGCCCAGCCUCUGUGGCACAGUUGGUAACAUACUGGACGAUGGAGCUGGAAGCCACAUGCGGACUGCAGCUCCAGUUCUUGAUCAGGUCAGCCUUAAACCUCACCAGGUACAUGUGUGGGCACAUCCAAGAUCCUGGCAAGCUGGAGAACUGGAGGAGGAGGAUCACAGAGAGAUUGAGCCCUGUGGUAGGUCCUUCCUUCUCUCUGUCAUGCAUGCACCAGUUCUGUCAUGAAUUAUUGUUAUUAUUAAUAAUAAU